AUACUCACCUGGCAGGUGAGAGACAAUGAUCAGGAAGGUUGUUCUCCCAGAACGAGGCUAUCCCAUUGCACUCUGGGUGUGUCGGUGCCUAUGCUGUCCCCAGAUAUGGGAUACUUGACUAUAAAAUUUAUGGUAGUGGGGACUGUGUUUGCGCUCUCCCCU